UUUCCGUAGGUGAACCUGCGGGAGGAUCAUUAAUGAGUAGUCAUGGGGUUCGAUGCUGGCAGCCAAUUUUUGGAUGCAUGUGCUUGCCCUAACAAUCAUCUUCCAAACACCUGUGCACAUUUUUGAGGGAGUCUUGAGUUGGUUGCCGCUCUUGGGUGAUUUUCUCACAUUCCCUUAAAUCAUUAUACGCUAUUAACAAUGUUGAACGUGCUCUGUGCCGCAAGGCUAUUAAUAUAAUACAACUUUUAACAACGGAUCUCUUGGCUCUC
rnacentral:misc_RNA from 1 species